rfam:Perkinsus marinus ATCC 50983 gcontig_1104296667906, whole genome shotgun sequence.
GGCCAUGUGACGCAACGGUAACGCAUCUGACUCCAGAUUAGAAGGUUGUCCGUUCGAAUCGGGCCGGGGUCA